AAGGGAAUCUUCGGCAAUGGACGAAAGUCUGACCGAGCAACGCCGCGUGAGUGAAGAAAGUUUUCGGAUCGUAAAACUCUGUUGUUAGAGAAGAACAAGGACGUUAGUAACUGAACGUCCCCUGACGGUAUCUAACCAGAAAGCCACGGCUAACUACGUGCCAGCAGCCGCGGUAAUACGUAGGUGGCAAGCGUUGUCCGGAUUUAUUGGGCGUAAAGCGAGCGCAGGCGGUUUCUUAAGUCUGAUGUGAAAGCCCCCGGCUCAACCGGGGAGGGUCAUUUGAAACAGGGAGACUUGAGUGCAGAAGAGGAGAGUGGAAUUCCAUGUGUAGCGGUGAGAUGCGUAGAUAUAUGGAAGAACACCAGUAGCGAAGGCGGCUGUCUGGUAUGUAACUGACGCUGAGGCUCGAAAGCGUGGAGAGCAAACAGG
rnacentral:rRNA from 1 species